rnacentral:RNase_P_RNA from 2 species
UGGGCAGACCGGGUGAUCGCAGGUGGUCAUGUACCAACUGAGGAAAGUCCGCGCUCCAAAGAGCUCGAUGUCGGGUAAUUCCCGGGCGAGGCGACUCGCGGAAAGGGCCACAGAAAAAAACCGCUUGAAUUUUCGAGUAAGGGUGAAAAGGUGGUGUAAGAGACCACCGGCGUGUGCAGUAAUGUGCACGGCCAGGUAACCCCCAUCGGGAGCAAGGCCAAGCAGGGGUGUAUGCCAUCUUAGGCAGGGAGCUGCUCGUUCCCUUUAAACCCCGGGUAGGCUGCAUGAACCUUGCGGAGACGCAAGGUCAAGAUAGAUGAUCACCCAUCUGAUCGAUUUGUGGGAAGAAGGGUUUUUCCGUAAACCAUAAAAGGUCAGAGGACAGAACGCGGCUUAUAGGUCAGCCCCAAAU